rnacentral:lncRNA from 10 species
AGUGCAAAACUGACAGUGCACAUAAACAUUUCCCAGUCGGCUAGACACACAACACACAUAUUACUCCUACAAUGUAAAGAUUUCCAUCACGGUGGACAGACGUGCUUUUCCAUGCUGUUGAGCUACAACUCUGGCCUACAACAACAGAAAUACAGCUUGUGUAAUAGUUACCAGCAAGGCCUCUAGACCCAUACUAACUGGGUUUGAAUCAAGGUCCCGUCCCUUGCUGAUUGUAUCACCUUGGGAGGAGAUGGAAGAUUGAGAGCAGAGUGCAAGAAUGGGAAGAGGGCUUCGUGCCCUGUGCACGUUUGCCACCUAGUGACCAAACUGAAUGGUGUGCUUCUCACCUCAGCGUGAUAGCCUGACCUUGACUCCUGAGUUCCACGAUCGCUUCACAACUGCAAGUCACCAUCAUACAAAAUUUGAGUUUCCCUAAGUCCGCGCCUUUGAGAGCUUUGGAACGAUAUGCAAGUUCAAGUCACCAUCCUGUUUCUUGCUACCUCCUGUGAGAAGACCAACAUUUGGGUUACACUUGUUUCUACUCUUGUUCUUCUGCUUGUUAUUGUUGCCUCUGCAGCCAUUGAUCACACACGUGUU